UACGUAGGUGGCAAGCGUUGUCCGGAUUUAUUGGGUUUAAAGGGUGCGUAGGCGGUCUAUUAAGUCAGUGGUGAAAUAUCGCAGCUUAACUGUGAGGGUGCCAUUGAUACUGAUGGACUUGAGUGAAGUCGAAGUAGGCGGAAUUGACGGUGUAGCGGUGAAAUGCUUAGAUAUCGUCAAGAACACCUAUAGCGAAGGCAGCUUACUAGGCUGUAACUGACGCUGAGGCACGAAAGUGUGGGGAUCAAACAGG
rnacentral:rRNA from 1 species